ACGAACGCUGGCGGCAGGCUUAACACAUGCAAGUCGAACGCACCGCAAGGUGAGUGGCAGACGGGUGAGUAACGCGUGGGAACGUACCCUUUGGUUCGGAAUAGCUCCGGGAAACUGGAAUUAAUACCGGAUAAGCCCUACGGGGGAAAGAUUUAUCGCCAAAGGAUCGGCCCGCGUUGGAUUAGCUAGUUGGUGGGGUAAUGGCCUACCAAGGCGACGAUCCAUAGCUGGUCUGAGAGGAUGAUCAGCCACACUGGGACUGAGACACGGCCCAGACUCCUACGGGAGGCAGCAGUGGGGAAUAUUGGACAAUGGGCGCAAGCCUGAUCCAGCCAUGCCGCGUGAGUGAUGAAGGCCCUAGGGUUGUAGAGCUCUUUCGCCGAUGAAGAUAAUGACGGUAGUCGGAGAAGAAGCCCCGGCUAACUUCGU
rnacentral:rRNA from 1 species